rnacentral:rRNA from 1 species
AGUUAACGCUGGCGGCGUGCCUAAUACAUGCAAGUCGAACGCAUCCCGUUAAAUGAAGUGCUUGCACGGAUUUUAACAUUGGAUGAGUGGCGAACUGGUGAGUAACACGUGGGUAACCUGCCCGGAAGCAGGGGAUAACACUUGGAAACAGGUGCUAAUACCGUAUAACAACAAAAACCGCAUGGUUUUUGUUUGAAAGGUGGUUUCGGCUAUCACUUCUGGAUGGACCCGCGGCGUAUUAGCUAGUUGGUGGAGUAAUGGUUCACCAAGGCAAUGAUACGUAGCCGACCUGAGAGGGUAAUCGGCCACAUUGGGACUGAGACACGGCCCAAACUCCUACGGGAGGCAGCAGUAGGGAAUCUUCCACAAUGGACGAAAGUCUGAUGGAGCAACGCCGCGUGAGUGAAGAAGGUUUUCGGAUCGUAAAACUCUGUUGUUGAAGAAGAACACGUUUGAGAGUAACUGUUCAGACGUUGACGGUAUUCAACCAGAAAGCCACGGCUAACUACGUGCCAGCCGCCGCAGUAA